rnacentral:rRNA from 1 species
CUACGGGUCGCUCCAGUGGGGAAUAUUGCACAAUGGGGGAAACCCUGAUGCAGCAACGCCGCGUGGAGGAUGACGCAUUUCGGUGUGUAAACUCCUUUUAUAUAGGAAGAUAAUGACGGUACUAUAUGAAUAAGCACCGGCUAACUCCGUGCCAGCAGCCGCGGUAAUACGGAGGGUGCAAGCGUUACUCGGAAUCACUGGGCGUAAAGCGCGCGCAGGCGGCCUUUUAAGUUGGAUGUGAAAGCCUAUGGCUUAAUCAUAGAACUGCAUCCAAAACUAUCAGGCUUGAGUCUGGGAGGGGAAGAUGGAAUUAGUUGUGUAGGGGUAAAAUCCGUAGAGAUAACUAGGAAUACCAAAAGCGAAGGCGAUCUUCUGGAACAGUACUGACGCUGAGGCGCGAAAGCGUGGGGAGCAAACAGGAUUAGAUACCCGCGUAGUC